rnacentral:rRNA from 1 species
GGGCGAGACAUGCCAUGCGGGCCCCGACGUGACUCCCCCCGAGGCCCAGUCGCCCCCGUGCACGUGCCCCCCGCUCGCCACCCGCUCUCCCUCCAAGCCCCUCCCCCCCGGACCCCACCUCUUUUGUUCUUCUUCCGAUUCCUCGGGUGCGGCGCACUCGCCGCGGCACCGCGUGGUCGCUUUGUUGGGGGCGGUUGGUGUACCUCAAGCUAAAUCCUCCUCAACCUCCCCCCAUACCCGCCCCCCCCCCUAGGGCAUGCCCCACUUGGAUUUUUUCCCCAAAGGGGGACACCUGGAUGACACCUUGCCGCUUUUGUAAAAAACCCUUUGGGGGUUUGUAAACCCCCUGUACGUAGGGGGGGUCAACGUUUAUGACUUUCUAGCCGCCUUUUGGCACUUACUAGGAAGAAGCACCUACUCCCUCCCACCCCCGCGGUUAAUACCGGGGGUUCCGACCGUUAAUCGCAANUACUGGGGCUUAAAGCGUGGCGCAGGCGGUUUUUUAAGCGAGAUGUGAAAACCCCCGGCUCCCCCUGGGAAAUUGCAUUUCGAACCUGCCAAACUAGAGUCUUGUAGAGGGGGGUAGAAUUCCAGGUGUAGCGGUGAAAUGCGUAGAGAUCUGGAGGAAUACCGGUGGCGAAGGCGGGACCCUGGACAAAGACUGACGCUCAGGCACGAAAGCGUGGGUAGCAAACAGGAUUAGAUACCCCUCUAGUACACGCCGUAAACGGAUUCUACUCGGAGUUUGGUUCUUGAACACUGGGCUCU